UUGGUUCCUUACAAUCCAACUAGUCCUGGAGC
rnacentral:piRNA from 2 species